rnacentral:rRNA from 1 species
UACGUAGGGGGCUAGCGUUGUCCGGAAUCAUUGGGCGUAAAGAGCGUGUAGGCGGCCCGGUAAGUCCGCUGUGAAAGUCGGGGGCUCAACCCUCGAAUGCCGGUGGAUACUGUCGGGCUAGAGUGCGGAAGAGGCGAGUGGAAUUCCUGGUGUAGCGGUGAAAUGCGCAGAUAUCAGGAGGAAUACCCAUAGCGAAGGCAGCUCGCUGGGACGUUACUGAACGCUGGAGGCGCGAAAGCGUGGGGAGCGAACAGG